CUGGAGGAAUAUUUUUAUUAAUAUAAUUGACCAAUAGAAAUGAGACUAAACACAAGCAAAAAAAAAAAAAAACUCACUGAGACAGAGAGGAUAAACUGAUAUGCUUGUUAUGGAUGAAGAAAGACUGGACCAGCAAACGCCAGAAGGUGCACCUUAGGACUAUCUGGAACCAGGGUGGCGGCUGGAGAAAAUGACAAUCUGGAAAUGCAAAUGAGUACACACAAAAUACCUUUCAAGCUGGAUAUCCCCGACCAGACGUCUAAAAGAAGGACAGCCUAGCAAGACAAAAAACUUUUAGACAAUAAGAAUUAUGCUACAGGCAAAAAUCACAGGCAUAACAGGGAAUCUGUUUCUAAUAACAAAUAGCCAAUUCCUUGUUUUGGGGGGGAGGGGCUUACUGGGGAUUGAACUCAUGAUCUUGUGCUUGCCAGGCAGGCAUUUACAUUCCUGAGCUAAACCCCUGGCCCCACAAGUAGCCAGUUCUUCAUUCUUCUAGGCUUUGAUGAGUUGCUCUAACCUCCUGGUCAGGCUGGUGUCAGAAAAGAUCCAGUAGAGAGCCUGGACUUUCAUUCUUACAGUGCUAUAACAAAUCUACAAACCCAAGAAGACCAAGUGGGAUAACUUAGCCUCCACUUCUUUUGUUUUUUAUGUUGUUUCUGUGAGGUAGGGUCUCACCAUGGAGUUCAAGCUGGCUUUGAACUCACAAAGUAGCCCAAAUUGAGCUCAAAUUUGCAGCAGUUCUCUAGCCACAGCCUCCACAAUGUUGGAAAACAGGUGUGGGCCUGUAUUUGGUCCACCUGGUUUGACUUCCACUUCUACCCACAGAGAUAGAGCUCUUAACAACACUUCUCAGGAACAAGCACCCUCCCCCUUGAUGUCUGUAGGAAGUAGUAAUGAGCCAUCCUUGGUGUUCCUACUAAAAGGAAAUGGGCAAAGACCUAUUUGUCAAUUGGAGAUGGAGGAGAAAGAAAUUCCAUCUCCAUCCCAAGUAACAAAGAGAUCCUUCUGUAAGUGUAAGUGGAGACUAACUGAGGAAUUUGUACUACUACCUUAACUAGCAGAGAAGCAGUGUCUACCUUUCCCUUGACAAAGAUGAGGCCUGCUAAAAUGUAACACUAAAAUUAAAUCUAGAAUUUUAAAACAUACAAAUGUCUGGGUUUCAGUAGAAGGUCAUUUGUCAUACUUACAAACAGGAAAACUUUGAUCUAACAUUGUUUUAUCAUUACAGUCCAGGGAGGCGUGAAAAGGUGCCAGUUAACAAGUUUUUAAGUUUAGCAAAAGACAACUCUAUGAAGCCUAGAACCUAGCGAACCACAAACAAACUCAAAGAAACCCACCACAAAGUCGUCAUGCUCAAACGUCUGAACUUACAAAGUGGGCAGAAAGGACACCAUGCUAAGGGCUUUCCCUCUGUUUCUGCUCUCUGGCUGCAUGAAGCAGGCAACUAUGUUCCACUAUACCCUUCUGCCCCGAUGUUUCUACCUAGUCAUGGGCCUAGAAGCUAGAGAGCCAAGUAACUGACCACAGGCUGAAGCCUCUGAGACUGUAAGCCAAA